rnacentral:RNase_P_RNA from 1 species
GGAGCUGACCGGAUCAUCGCGCUCCUCUGGCAGGAGUGAGGAAAGUCCGAACACCACAGGGCACCGUGCUUCCUAACGGGAAGGCGCAUCGCUUCGGCAAUGCGACGGCACGUGCAACAGAAAACAGACCAGCCGAUGGCCCCUCGGGGCACAGGUGAUGGGUGAAAUGGUGGGGUAAGAGCCCACCGGCGGUUGCGGUGACGUAGCCGGCCAGGCAAACCCCACGGGGUGCAAGGUCGAGCAGCAUCGGGGCCCUCGGGCCCGGGAGCGGCCCGCUCCUGGUUUACGACGAUGCGGGUAGACUGCUUGAGGCUGACGGUGACGUCAGUCCCAGAUAAAUGAUGAUCUCCCCGGUGGAAUUGGCCACCUGCCGGGCAGACAGAAUUCGGCUUACAGGUCAGCAUGGCCA